GCCUUGGAGUUCAUCUAGAAAUCAAAAUUUUAAUAGCACGAUAGUUUCUAUACAAUCUGAAUUUUUUUCCUUUUGCGGGUACUUGAACAAUGGCUGAUGACUUACCUUCAUCGAACUCCUCGAAAUCUACAGGUGCAUCACUCAUAUCCAUAGGAUGAGCAGUGAAGGUGUUUAUCCCCUGAUCUUCUUCUGUGAUGAAAGGUUCAACAUUGAGAUCAAAAUGUUGAAGACAUUGGCCACCACUGCCAUGGGCAUCAGCUUCUUGGACAACAAUGGAUGGAUCUUCUUCCUCGCCUACAAUUUCGUUGUUGCCUCCAUGGUUGAUGGCGUCUUGUUCCCCACUUGCUGCAGAUUCUUCUCCGCCUACAACUUCAUUCAGGUCAGGUAUUGCCUCUCUAUCUCCCUCCGGAAGCAAGUUUAGAUCUAUAGCCAUGAAUGAAGUGUUUGGGAUGGAUUGUGUUGUGGAUUGCAGGCUAAUGAAAAGACGUGCACAGGUGACGGCGGCGUGUGGCUGCCUCUCGAGAUUUGAUAGAGAAUGUGAUUUGUUUUGGCAGGUCGUUUGUUUAAUCCUUUUUGUACUAUUAUGGGCACACCUUUUGGCGCCAGAAGCAAAAUUUUCAUCACUCACAAUUCUGUAUGGGAAUGAUGUGACUGGUUAAAAAAAUUACCUUUUGUUUUA